rnacentral:rRNA from 1 species
AAAUUGAAGAGUUUGAUCAUGGCUCAGAUUGAACGCUGGCGGCAGGCCUAACACAUGCAAGUCGAACGGUAACAGGAAGCAGCUUGCUGCUUUGCUGACGAGUGGCGGACGGGUGAGUAAUGUCUGGGAAACUGCCCGAUGGAGGGGGAUAACUACUGGAAACGGUAGCUAAUACCGCAUAACGUCGCAAGACCAAAGAGGGGGACCUUAGGGCCUCUUGCCAUCGGAUGUGCCCAGAUGGGAUUAGCUAGUAGGUGGGGUAACGGCUCACCUAGGCGACGAUCCCUAGCUGGUCUGAGAGGAUGACCAGCCACACUGGAACUGAGACACGGUCCAG